rnacentral:lncRNA from 1 species
CCAAGUUCACAUCUGAACUCUCUCAAUACUAGGGUGGGCAAGUAUCGAAUAGAAAACUAAACAAUCUAGGGCUAGAAUAAUCCCUAAUUAUAGAGAUUUCUUCAAAGUCCAAAGAGGAGAACCAAACACACGUUAUUUUUCUUCAACCGAAAAAUACACGCUAGUUUUCUUUUUAUAAGAAAACUAACGCCUCUCCCCUUUUCCCUUUAGAAUUAGGAUUCUGAGUUCUAGUUAAAUAUGGGCACUGGAGGGACCACAUAAUUAAUUACUGAGGCUUCCUAUUAUGGAAAUAAUUCCAAAUAAUUAAUUUGAAUUAUUCUUACCAUAAUAAAUUACAAAUCAUUCCACUAGAAAUUCGUAAUUGCACUCCUCUAUUUAUAUUUUGUAAUUCCCCAUUAAACACUUAUGUAAUUCCCCAUGUUAAGAUUUCAGAUACUAAUCAAUAAAUUAAAUUACUGACGAAUUUAACUUAAUGAUUAAUUUCCUUUAGAGCACUACUUAACUUAUUUCAUGUGUCGGAUUCAUAAAUCCACUUGCAAGGUUUGACACGAUGAAAACUUAUAAGUUUCUCAAAAAGGCAUAUCAAUCAAUCUCUAUAACGAGACAUGGAUUCCAUCAACUAACUUAUUAUUUCACCAAUAUAUAUUAUUAUCAUCCAACUUACCAGG